CAUGAUGAACGCUAGCUACAGGCUUAACACAUGCAAGUCGAGGGGCAGCAUGGUCUUAGCUUGCUAAGGCCGAUGGCGACCGGCGCACGGGUGAGUAACACGUAUCCAACCUGCCGUCUACUCUUGGACAGCCUUCUGAAAGGAAGAUUAAUACAAGAUGGCAUCAUGAGUCCACAUGUUCACAUGAUUAAAGGUAUUCCGGUAGACGAUGGGGAUGCGUUCCAUUAGAUAGUAGGCGGGGUAACGGCCCACCUAGUCUUCGAUGGAUAGGGGUUCUGAGAGGAAGGUCCCCCACAUUGGAACUGAGACACGGUCCAAACUCCUACGGGAGGCAGCAGUGAGGAAUAUUGGUCAAUGGGCGCAGGCCUGAACCAGCCAAGUAGCGUGAAGGAUGACUGCCCUAUGGGUUGUAAACUUCUUUUAUAAAGGAAUAAAGUCGGGUAUGCAUACCCGUUUGCAUGUACUUUAUGAAUAAGGAUCGGCUAACUCCGUGCCAGCAGCCGCGGUAAUACGGAGGAUCCGAGCGUUAUCCGGAUUUAUUGGGUUUAAAGGGAGCGUAGAUGGAUGUUUAAGUCAGUUGUGAAAGUUUGCGGCUCAACCGUAAAAUUGCAGUUGAUACUGGAUAUCUUGAGUGCAGUUGAGGCAGGCGGAAUUCGUGGUGUAGCGGUGAAAUGCUUAGAUAUCACGAAGAACUCCGAUUGCGAAGGCAGCCUGCUAAGCUGCAACUGACAUUGAGGCUCGAAAGUGUGGGUAUCAAACAGGAUUAGAUACCCUGGUAGUCCACACGGUAAACGAUGAAUACUCGCUGUUUGCGAUAUACAGCAAGCGGCCAAGCGAAAGCGUUAAGUAUUCCACCUGGGGAGUACGCCGGCAACGGUGAAACUCAAAGGAAUUGACGGGGGCCCGCACAAGCGGAGGAACAUGUGGUUUAAUUCGAUGAUACGCGAGGAACCUUACCCGGGCUUAAAUUGCAGAUGAAUUACGGUGAAAGCCGUAAGCCGCAAGGCAUCUGUGAAGGUGCUGCAUGGUUGUCGUCAGCUCGUGCCGUGAGGUGUCGGCUUAAGUGCCAUAACGAGCGCAACCCUUGUUGUCAGUUACUAACAGGUUCCGCUGAGGACUCUGACAAGACUGCCAUCGUAAGAUGUGAGGAAGGUGGGGAUGACGUCAAAUCAGCACGGCCCUUACGUCCGGGGCUACACACGUGUUACAAUGGGGGGUACAGAGGGCCGCUACCACGCGAGUGGAUGCCAAUCCCAAAAACCUCUCUCAGUUCGGACUGGAGUCUGCAACCCGACUCCACGAAGCUGGAUUCGCUAGUAAUCGCGCAUCAGCCACGGCGCGGUGAAUACGUUCCCGGGCCUUGUACACACCGCCCGUCAAGCCAUGGGAGCCGGGGGGUACCUGAAGUGCGUAACCGCGAGGAGCGCCCUAGGGUAAAACUGGU
rnacentral:rRNA from 1 species